GGAUGUGAGGGGGAUCUGGCUGCAUGCAACAUGUCGCCUUAUUGAUCACCAGAGUUGAUUCGGCUGAUCUGGCUGGCUAGGUGGACGUCCCCUUCCUCUCUCACCACUCCAUGUGCACACACUCCCAGCUGUGUGCUUGGUCGAAGAGGACGAUCUUCCCAAAUGGAGGAAGACCUUGUCUUCCGUCAAGUUUAUACAAGUAGCUGUGCUCCCCUGUUGGAACCUCCAAACUAGAAACUCAAAGCUCUCAAGAAUGUGAACUAAAUUAAUAAAAAUGAAAAAAGAAACUGCAAUAUAUUACCAUCGUACGUA
rnacentral:snRNA from 1 species